CAUACGUCACAGGAUGGCAAACAAGAUUUUAUGUCUAUGCUUCUACUAUGUAUCAGUGGAUGGCACUUACCCUUGUUAUAACAUGCUAUAUAUUCUUGUUAAAACAUGCCUAUAUAAUGAUCCAUCAGUGAAGGGAUUCUAUGAUUAUGUAUGUUUUAACUUUGUGGUUCUUUUCUUGCACUUUUGUGCUAUAGCUGUAAUUUCAGGCCUAAACAUGAAUUCAUGCAUUUGGCUUGCAGAAUAUGCCUCAUUCCAGAGAAGCUGAUGCUGUUGGAAGCUAGAAUUACAACCUGCAGCCGAAGAUUGGCAUAGAUGAAACGUGUUUGGUGGUACUUUGUUGGAUCUGAUCAAUCUUGGUCCUUUGGAUAACAUGGUGAAGUCUUAAGAGGAGGCACAGGGUCUCUGAGGGGUAUGUAGCAUUUGGAUUGAAGACUUCUGUGAGCCUGUGAUCUCAUCUUGUACUCAUAGGAUCUCAAAAGGAUGUCAUUGCAGCUGUUUGGAAAAUUGAUCGUGGAUGUAUAAGAUGUUUGCUGUAAGCCGACGCAUCAUGGGAGACGUGGUGUGGUGUAUCUAUCGACAUCAUUGUCCAUGGCUUGGAUUUGGCAUUGACAUCAGCCUGCCAUCCUGGAAAUGCAGUGGAAGAGUCACAGUUCAUACUUAGCACUAACCAACA